UACGUAGGGUGCGAGCGUUGUCCGGAAUUAUUGGGCGUAAAGAGCUUGUAGGCGGUCUGUCGCGUCUGCUGUGAAAAUCCGGGGCUCAACCCCGGACUUGCAGUGGGUACGGGCAGACUAGAGUGUGGUAGGGAGACGUGGAAUUCCUGGUGAUAGGCGGUGAAAUGCGCAGAUAUCAGGAGGAACACCGAGUGGCGAAGGCAGGUCUCUGGGCCGACUACUGACGCUGGAGAAAGCGAAAGCCAUGGGGAGCGAACAGGA
rnacentral:rRNA from 1 species